CGUCAAGAAGGGCGCUGCCGAGCGGAUGGCGGUGAACACCCGCCUGAUGGACCCGGCCGAUAUCGCCGGCGUUCGGGUUCGCCAUCUCGAUGGC
rnacentral:tRNA from 1 species